rnacentral:rRNA from 1 species
AUGUCCUCCUCCAGCUCGAGUUCCUUCUCUGGCCUAAACAACAAUACCUCUGAACCCUUGAGCCGCACCAACUACAUCCUAUGGCGUGCCCAGGCUCGCUCUCAGAUCAUGGGGGCUGGCCUGUAUGGAUACCUAGAUGAAACAAACCCCGAGCCCUCCAAAACAAUUACAGCAAAAAACUCUGAAGGUAAGGAACAGCUUGUUCCGAAUCCUGCCUACACCCCUUGGUUAAUCCAAGACCAA